rnacentral:rRNA from 1 species
AUUGAACGCUGGCGGCAGGCCUAACACAUGCAAGUCGAGCGGAUGAAGGGAGCUUGCUCCUGGAUUCAGCGGCGGACGGGUGAGUAAUGCCUAGGAAUCUGCCUGGUAGUGGGGGAUAACGUCCGGAAACGGGCGCUAAUACCGCAUACGUCCUGAGGGAGAAAGUGGGGGAUCUUCGGACCUCACGCUAUCAGAUGAGCCUAGGUCGGAUUAGCUAGUUGGUGGGGUAAAGGCCUACCAAGGCGGCGAUCCGUAACUGGUCUGAGAGGAUGAUCAGUCACACUGGAAGUGAGACACGGUCCAGACUCCUACGGGAGGCAGCAGUGGGGAAUAUUGGACAAUGGGCGGAAGCCUGAUCCAGCCGUGCCGCGUGUGUGGAGAAGGUCUUCGGAUUGUAAAGCACUUUAAGUGGGGAGGAAGGGCAGUAAGUUAAUACCUUGCUGUUUUGACGUUACCAACAGAAUAAGCACCGGCUAACUUCGUG